GACGAACGCUGGCGGCGUGCUUAACACAUGCAAGUCGAACGGUGAUGCCCCAGCUUGCUGGAGUGGAUCAGUGGCGAACGGGUGAGUAACACGUGAGCAACCUGCCACAGACUCUGGAAUAAGCGCUGGAAACGGCGUCUAAUACUGGAUACGAAACUGGCCCGCAUGGGCAUGGUUUGGAAAGUUUUUCGGUUUGGGAUGGGCUCGCGGCCUAUCAGCUUGUUGGUGAGGUAAUGGCUCACCAAGGCGACGACGGGUAGCCGGCCUGAGAGGGCGACCGGCCACACUGGGACUGAGACACGGCCCAGACUCCUACGGGAGGCAGCAGUGGGGAAUAUUGCACAAUGGGCGAAAGCCUGAUGCAGCGACGCCGCGUGAGGGAUGACGGCCUUCGGGUUAUAAACCUCUUUCAGCAGGGAAGAAGCGAAAGUGACGGUACCUGCAGAAGAAGCACCGGCUAACUACGUG
rnacentral:rRNA from 1 species